AGAACGAACGCUGGCGGCAUGCCUAAUACAUGCAAGUCGAACGAGAUCUUCGGAUCUAGUGGCGCACGGGUGCGUAACGCGUGGGAAUCUACCCUUGGGUUCGGAAUAACAGUUGGAAACGACUGCUAAUACCGGAUGAUGACGAAAGUCCAAAGAUUUAUCGCCAAGGAUGAGCCCGCGUAGGAUUAGCUAGUUGGUGAGGUAAAGGCUCACCAAGGCGACGAUCCUUAGCUGGUCUGAGAGGAUGAUCAGCCACACUGGGACUGAGACACGGCCCAGACUCCUACGGGAGGCAGCAGUAGGGAAUAUUGGACAAUGGGCGAAAGCCUGAUCAGCAAUGCCGCGUGAGUGAUGAAGGCCUUAGGUUGUAAAGCUCUUUACCGAGAUGAUAAUGACAGUAUCGGAGAAUAAGCCCGGCUAACUCCGUGCCAGCAGCCGC
rnacentral:rRNA from 1 species